rnacentral:rRNA from 2 species
UGGGGAAUAUUGGACAAUGGGCGAAAGCCUGAUCCAGCCAUGCCGCGUGUGUGAAGAAGGUCUUCGGAUUGUAAAGCAUUUUAAGUUGGGAGGAAGGGCAGUAAAUUAAUACUUUGCUGUUCGACGUACCGACAGAUAGACCCCAUCACC